UACAGAGGUCUCGAGCGUUGUUCGGAUUCAUUGGGCGUAAAGGGCGCGUAGGCGGCGGGGUAAGUCUGGUGUGAAAUCUCGGAGCUCAACUCCGAAAUUGCACUGGAUACUGCUCUGCUAGAGGGCUGGAGAGGAGAUCGGAAUUCACGGUGUAGCAGUGAAAUGCGUAGAUAUCAAGAGGAACACCUGAGGUGAAGACGGGUUGCUGGGCCGACACUGACGCUGAUAGCGCGAAAGCCAGGGGAGCAAACGGG
rnacentral:rRNA from 1 species